rnacentral:sRNA from 1 species
GUCUCCUGUAUAAACUUCAUUGAGGUAGUGUCUUGUUCACUGCCAUAUUCCUAGGGACAAGUAAAGUUCCCUGUAUAUUGUAGGAGCUAAGUGUUGAAUGAAUGAAUGGUGGCUGCCAUUAUUGCUUCACCUUCACCCUCUAAGAGCAGUCUCCCCAUUCUGGUUUAUAGUUUCUGUGCUCACUGCUUGUGAUAAUCAUAAGUAUAUAUUGUUGAGAACAGUGCCUGUUUUCUCUUUCCCUGAAAGCACCUACUUUGACGUUGGCUGACAUAGUUCACUCAGCUGUCUCCUAACCACUGAUCCCUCUGUAUCACAGGUAUCUCGGGGGAGCUUUGUGCCUUGAUGGAUCAAGUUCAUCAUAUGCAGCACUCAAAAUGGCAGCAUCCUUCGGACCUCACCACGCGAAACUACGCCCGCCGACAGAAACAUCUGCAAAGAUACAGUCUGACUCAGUGGGUUGACAGGAACAUGCGAAGCCACCAUCGGUUCCAGCGUCUCCCAGACUUCUCGUACAGUUAACUUGUGUCAUCCCAUCAGCAAUGAAGGUCCCUAUCCAGGGUCCUGCUUGGAGCAGCAUUUCAUGUUCUUUUGCUGUUUUGUGCUUUGCCGAUUUUGGAUUUUAUUUUUCACAAGGUUUUUAUUUAAAAAACUCAUCACCUUUUGGAA